AAUAUGUUUAGAGAAAUUUUACGCUAUAAAUGCAAUUAAUUGUCAAGAUUUAUAAGAGGUUUUGGCGGCAAUUUAACCUUUGAACAUGACUAAAACGUGAUAUUAUGGCUAAAAUAAAAACACGAGUUCAAUAUAAAAUGCAAUUUUAAUUUGAUGAUUUCGGGAGUUUGUUUUUUACUAUUUUCAUUUUUUUUCUUUCAGAUUAUUGUUAAUCGGGCAAAAUUUAGUGAUCAAACACCGUUGUUAAAUCAAUUAAAAUGACUAUAAUAAGUGUUCUACUUAAAAUAUACUGAUAAACAGUUCGAAAUGAAUCACUGGUAUAAGUAUGACUUUUUAUUGUUUUUGCUAUUAUUUAAUAAUUGUGAUAAUUUUUAUUGGCAAUAUCAAAGCCCUCUUCAGGACGAUAACAAACUGUCGCCAUAGGAGCAGAAAGUCGUCUGGCAGGUACAUCUUAGUAGGUAGGUGUAAGACGGAUGGCGACACUUUCCAUCAGAAUCCGGAGAAAACGUCAAAUCGACAUUCAGAUUCGUUAAAAUAGGAUCAGAUCCAGAAGGACACGUGGAUGUGGAAGACAUUGAUUAGAGACAGAUAGAAAGUUUGAAAUAUUAUUGAGCUUGUUUUCAACACGUUCUACAAGACGAGGGACAGAUUCAACUUUCAUCGAGAAACCACCAUGAUCACUGUUACCAUCGUUCUAAUACUGCUCGCUGUGGCCAGUGGAGGUAAGGUUAACUUUAGCUGCUCUAAAGCAUAAGAAACCUCACAGAAUGAUGAGUAAAUAAGUAACGUUAAUUUAAAUAUAGUGUUUACAGAAAUGUAAUCUUUUAAAUAGCAAGUUUCGUGGAAAAUAAACAACGAUCCUUCUACGUCACAAUGAUAGAUUCUCUAACAGAAAGAGACGACUAUUGGAUGAAAACGCGAGUUAUAAUUUAUCUCUACAUGCUUAACGAUAGAGUACAAAAUGAAGGCAACAUUUCUGAAGGUUUCCACUUUUUAAAUAAUCCAUACCAUCGUUUAUAACAUAGAAAAAACAGGGAUAAAGCUCACAAUAGUUUAUUGGAGACCAUCUCAAAGUUUAUCAAACAAAAGGUCUGAGAAGUGUUUAUGUAAUCCUGCUA